UGUAGCAGCCUGUGGCUAUAAAAGUCCGGGCGCGGCUUCCGUUCGUUCUUUCCUUGCUGUUGGUGUGUGCGGAGCAUCUCUCUCCAUCUGGCUGUGCGCUGCGUCCUCUCCUUGUCUCUCCUGCACUUACAGGCCGCGGCAUCAGCAUGGGACUCGGUGCGGCAGGGGAUGGGGCGCAGGCCACAGGACCUGGAUGAGCGCGUUACUGCAGCUGGUAACUGACCUGAAUGGUGACUGGUUCGGAAAUAAGAUGUACAAUCACAGGAAAGCAACUUCCAAGGGGUGGCUAGUGCUGUUGCUGUACAUAAUACGACAGGCAAUGACAUGUUAGGCUGUCCUGGUGAGAAUGCAGUUUGUGCCUCUCUGCAUGGGCACUUGUAGUUGCAGGAAAUGGAUUGCAGAUCGGCAAUUCAGAUGUGAACGGCCCUAUAUAGCCAGGAAUUGUACAAUUGCAGGGUGCUGCAAGUCUAACAGAAGCCUUGAAGGUGCUCGACCAUCGUGAUCUGAGACAGGAUAUCUACAACACAGAUUAUACCCAUGGCCAAAUUUUUUUCACAGCAUUUGACACUGAUGGGAAUUCUGUUAAUGCGCAGAUCAGCAGUGCUGUAAUGUAGUGAUUACUUUAAGAUUCCUUUGAUCUGUGCAUGACAAUGGGGCUCUGGUAACGGCUUAUCUGAAACCUAUGAGGAUAUUUUUGUAUUACAACUUAAAUUCUUAUGAUGCAGAUAGUAUGUUCAUUAGUCAGUUUAUAGCUUCCCAACACUUGAGUUGUCAAUCCUUUUGCACUUCCUUAUAAAUAUGUAAUUACCUAUAUCUCCUAAGAUUUGAUGGUUGACAAUAUGGUACCAAUAAAAAUUUGUCAGUUUA